ensembl:lncRNA
GAUUCCAUUUAUAUGACAUUUUUGAAGUGACAAAAUUUUAGAAAUGAAAGACAGAUUAUAGUUGCCAAAGGUUUGGGAAUGGGGACAGAAGGAAGUGAGUGUGGCUACAAAAGGGCAACAUGAAAGAUCUUAUGGUUUUGGAACUGUUCAGUAUCUUGCCUGUUGUAGUGGAUACACACACCUACACAGGUGAUAAAAUUGUGUAGAAUUUAAUACAGAGACACAGACACACAAAAGACUACAAGUGGAACAAAUUUAAAUAAGAUCAGUAGAUUGUAUCAAUUGUGGUUGUGAUAUUAUACUAUAAUUUUGCAAAUUGUUACCAUUGGGGGAUACUGGAAAAGUGCACAAGGGAUCUCUCUGGGUUAUUUCUUACAAUUGCAUGUAAAUCUACAAUUAUCUCAAUGAACAAAAACUUUGAUGGAAAAAGUCUUUUGUAAUCCACUCCCAAUUGAGUUUCUCGCACUUCUUUCAUUACCCUGCAAUUUAAAGAACCUAUCAAGAAGUCAGAGGAGGAGUAUUUGAUGUUUCUAAAUGAGAGCCCUCUCUUAUAUUCAUAUCUUCUCCUCAGUUCUUUAUGAUGUUUCUAAAUGAGAACCCCCUCUUGUAUUCAUAUCUUCUCCUGGCUUCUUUAUCACGUGAUGUACAGCAUGUGCCAAUUAGGAAUUUAAAUGCUUCCAGAUGGACCCAACUGCUUCAGCUCUCUCAGCACCAAGGCUAUCACUUAAAGUCAAACAUGUCCUCUCCAUUGUCCAGCAUCCAUACAUCAAAAGAUGAGCUCCAGUUUUACAUACAUCCCCCUAUGUGGCAAGCAGGUGAUCAUUUAUAAUCCAGUCACAGAGGGGCCUAUAAAAAUCCUUCAAGCCAAAAAGAAUACAGAAUGAUAGCAGAUGCUCUUACCAGGAACAGACCUUCUCGACUGAGCCAACUUCGUGUCUGCAGGUGCAUCGCAGGUGGGAAGGCAAGUUGUUAGUACAGGACCAGGGAUAAGAAAGUAGAUGGGGAAUGCUUAAACCUACACAAAACACCUGUGCACUCAAUGUACCGAGUACACCUGUGUACUCAGCUCAGCUAGUCACUGGGGAGUACCAGACUCAACAGUUUGUAAUAUAAUCACCUAAAAACUCCAACCAUGGUCUCCCACUAAGUUCCACUGGAAGUUCCUAGACACAGCUAAGUCACAAGGAAACAAAAAGAUGAAGAAAGUUUCAACAUUUACUCUCCAAUUAAGUGACCUCUUGUAAAGAAACAGUUAUCAAACAUGCUAUCAGGUUUGAGUGGGAGAGCAAAUUCCCAGAAAGUCCCAUAAAAGGGGGAGUAAACUGUGACCACACUAGAUUGCCAGAGCGGGUAAACACAGAAAGGAAUGAGAUUUGACCGGAAAAGCUUCAGGAAUUCGUGAAGAAGCCCAGCAGUGAAGGGGCUGUAGGUGAAAGGUUUGGCAAUCGUCAAAGGGCCAGGCUGGCGGAGGAGGCAGACUGUAGGGUGCUCAUGUCAGGAACCAUUUCUUCAAGGCAGACAGACAUGGGUAACUGAGGCAGGGGAAGAAGGCAGUAUGAAAAAGUUCCCACAUCUCUCUCACUGGCUCUUGGGGCAGAUUUGAUUCUCCAAGGAUAUCACACUGUUCAAUGAGGAAAUUCACGGCUAUUGCCAUGGGAGCCAACGCCGAGUACCAGACAGCACAACUGUGAUGAAUCAAGGGCAGGGGCACCAAAUGAGAAAGAGGGUAAGACAUCCAAGGGAAGAGUAAGGGAGACCGUGGAAGACAGACAGAGCUGGCCACUGGAGCCUGAAGAGCUGGGCCAAUCAUUGAUCUCGGAAUGUAUCAAUCUUUUUUGAUCUGCAAGUUGAAAGGUGCAAGUGGCCAUCAUUCAGAUAUGGGAAAUUAAGGAGUAAUCCAACAUGGAAUAUGGACUUUGACAUGCCAUAACAUAGAUGCUGCUGUAAGCUAUUGGUUCAAUAUUUCCCAAAGUAUAUUCUAUGGGAUUUAAAUAAGGAUCUGUGACAAAAGUGGGCAUGCUUGAAUAAAUUUUGGAAAAGAUAGAUCACACCAAAGUAAGUACAUUUCUCUCUGAAAGACUACUCAGAGUCAUUAAUU